UACGUAGGGGGCAAGCGUUGUCCGGAAUCAUUGGGCGUAAAGCGCGUGUAGGCGGUCCGGUAAGUCCGCUGUGAAAGUCGGGGGCUCAACCCUCGGAUGCCGGUGGAUACUGUCGGGCUUGAGUACGGAAGAGGCGAGUGGAAUUCCUGGUGUAGCGGUGAAAUGCGCAGAUAUCAGGAGGAACACCAGUGGCGAAGGCGGCUUCCUGGACCUUUGCUGACGCUAAGGCGCGAAAGCGUGGGUAGCGAUCCGG
rnacentral:rRNA from 1 species